UUACUCUGACUUCUCUUCAGAUCGUAUAAAUUUUCGCCUUUUACAAAGAUUUCCGUGGAGAGGAUCAUAGAGUGAUACUCAAUUUUUUGAUGCCUGCUCAUGUGGGGCU